AGGGUUUGAUCAUGGCUCAGGACGAACGUUGGCGGUGCGCUUAAUGCAUGCAAGUCGAGGGAGAACCAUUCGUUCCGUAAGGUCUGGAUGGGGAAACCGGCGAACGGGUGCGUAACACGUGAGAAACCUGCCCCGAAGACCGGGAUAGCCCGGGGAAACCCGGAUUAAUACUGGAUACCCUCUUCGGACCGCAUGGUCUGAAGAGGAAAUGGUCCGCCGCUUCGGGAUGGUCUCGCGGCCUAUCAGCUUGUUGGUGAGGUAACGGCUCACCAAGGCUAAGACGGGUAGCUGGUCUGAGAGGACGAUCAGCCACACUGGGACUGAGACACGGCCCAGACUCCUACGGGAGGCAGCAGCAGGGAAUAUUGCACAAUGGGCGAAAGCCUGAUGCAGCGACACCGCGUGCGGGAUGAAGGCCUUCGGGUUGUAAACCGCUUUCAGGAGGGAAGAAAAUGACGGUACCUCCAGAAGAAGGCCCGGCCAACUACGUGCCAGCAGCCGCGGUAACACGUAGGGGCCAAACGUUGUCCGGAUUUAUUGGGCGUAAAGGGCUCGUAGGCGGUUCAACAAGUCGGUCGUGAAAACCCGGGGCUCAACCCCGGGACGCCGGUCGAAACUGUUGUGACUAGGGUCCGGUAGAGGUGAGUGGAAUUCUCGGUGUAGCGGUGGAAUGCGCAGAUAUCGAGAGGAACACCAGUUGCGAAGGCGGCUCACUGGGCCGGUACCGACGCUAAGGAGCGAAAGCAUGGGGAGCAAACAGGAUUAGAUACCCUGGUAGUCCAUGCCGUAAACGGUGAACACUAGGUGUGGCGGAUCAUUUGAUGUCUGCCGUACCGUAGCUAACGCGUUAAGUGUUCCGCCUGGGGAGUACGGCCGCAAGGCUAAAACUCAAAGGAAUUGACG
rnacentral:rRNA from 1 species